rnacentral:rRNA from 1 species
GAUAAACGCUGGCGGCGUGCCUAAUACAUGCAAGUCGAGCGAACGGACGAGAAGCUUGCUUCUCUGAUGUUAGCGGCGGACGGGUGAGUAACACGUGGAUAACCUACCUAUAGGACUGGGAUAACUUCGGGAAACCGGAGCUAAUACCGGAUAAUAUUUUGAACCGCAUGGUUCAAAAGUGAAAGACGGUCUUGCUGUCACUUAUAGAUGGAUCCGCGCUGCAUUAGCUAGUUGGUAAGGUAACGGCUUACCAAGGCAACGAUGCAUAGCCGACCUGAGAGGGUGAUCGGCCACACUGGAACUGAGACACGGUCCAGACUCCUACGGGAGGCAGCAGUAGGGAAUCUUCCGCAAUGGGCGAAAGCCUGACGGAGCAACGCCGCGUGAGUGAUGAAGGUCUUCGGAUCGUAAAACUCUGUUAUUAGGGAAGAACAUAUGUGUAAGUAACUGUGCACAUCUUGACGGUACCUAAUCAGAAAGCCACGGCUAACUACGUGCCAGCAGCCGCGGUAAUACGUAGGUGGCAAGCGUUAUCCGGAAUUAUUGGGCGUAAAGCGCGCGUAGGCGGUUUUUUAAGUCUGAUGUGAAAGCCCACGGCUCAACCGUGGAGGGUCAUUGGAAACUGGAAAACUUGAGUGCAGAAGAGGAAAGUGGAAUUCCAUGUGUAGCGGUGAAAUGCGCAGAGAUAUGGAGGAACACCAGUGGCGAAGGCGACUUUCUGGUCUGUAACUGACGCUGAUGUGCGAAAGCGUGGGGAUCAAACAGGAUUAGAUACCCUGGUAGUCCACGCCGUAAACGAUGAGUGCUAAGUGUUAGGGGGUUUCCGCCCCUUAGUGCUGCAGCUAACGCAUUAAGCACUCCGCCUGGGGAGUACGACCGCAAGGUUGAAACUCAAAGGAAUUGACGGGGACCCGCACAAGCGGUGGAGCAUGUGGUUUAAUCCGAAGCAACGCGAAGAACCUUACCAAAUCUUGACAUCCUUUGACAACUCUAGAGAUAGAGCCUUCCCCUUCGGGGGACAAAGUGACAGGUGGUGCAUGGUUGUCGUCAGCUCGUGUCGUGAGAUGUUGGGUUAAGUCCCGCAACGAGCGCAACCCUUAAGCUUAGUUGCCAUCAUUAAGUUGGGCACUCUAAGUUGACUGCCGGUGACAAACCGGAGGAAGGUGGGGAUGACGUCAAAUCAUCAUGCCCCUUAUGAUUUGGGCUACACACGUGCUACAAUGGACAAUACAAAGGGCAGCGAAACCGCGAGGUCAAGCAAAUCCCAUAAAGUUGUUCUCAGUUCGGAUUGUAGUCUGCAACUCGACUACAUGAAGCUGGAAUCGCUAGUAAUCGUAGAUCAGCAUGCUACGGUGAAUACGUUCCCGGGUCU